rnacentral:rRNA from 1 species
CCUACGGGUGGCAGCAGUGGGGAAUAUUGGACAAUGGGCGAAAGCCUGAUCCAGCCAUGCCGCGUGUGUGAAGAAGGCCUUCGGGUUGUAAAGCACUUUCAGUGGGGAAGAAAGCCUUGGGGCUAAUAUCCUCGAGGAAGGACAUCACCCACAGAAGAAGCACCGGCUAACUCCGUGCCAGCAGCCGCGGUAAUACGGAGGGUGCGAGCGUUAAUCGGAAUUACUGGGCGUAAAGCGCGCGUAGGCGGUCUGAUAAGCCGGUUGUGAAAGCCCCGGGCUCAACCUGGGAACGGCAUCCGGAACUGUCAGGCUAGAGUGCAGGAGAGGAAGGUAGAAUUCCCGGUGUAGCAGUGAAAUGCGUAGAGAUCGGGAGGAAUACCAGUGGCGAAGGCGGCCUUCUGGACUGACACUGACGCUGAGGUGCGAAAGCGUGGGUAGCAAACAGGAUUAGAUACCCCAGUAGUC